GAUGAAGAACGUAGCGAAAUGCGAUAAGUAAUGUGAAUUGCAGAAUUCAGUGAAUCAUCGAAUCUUUGAACGCACAUUGCGCCCAUUAGCAUUCUAGUGGGCAUGCCUGUUCGAGCGUCAUUUCAACCCUUAAGCCCUGUUGCUUAGCGUUGGGAGCCUACAGUACUGUAGCUCCCCAAAGUUAGUGGCGGAGUCGGUUUCACACUCUAGACGUAGUAAUUUUUUCUCGUCUGUAGUUGAGCCGGUACCCUGCCGUAAAACACCCAAUUUAUCAAGGUUGACCUCGGAUCAGGUAGGAAUACCCGCUGAACUUAAGCAUAUCAAUAAGCGGAGGA
rnacentral:misc_RNA from 1 species